rnacentral:rRNA from 1 species
UACGUAGGGGGCAAGCGUUGUCCGGAUUUAUUGGGCGUAAAGAGCGUGUAGGCGGCCAGGUAGGUCAGCUGUGAAAACUCGAGGCUCAACCUCGAGACGUCGGUUGAAACCACCUGGCUAGAGUCCGGAAGAGGAGAGUGGAAUUCCUGGUGUAGCGGUGAAAUGCGCAGAUAUCAGGAAGAACACCCGUGGCGAAGGCGGCUCUCUGGGACGGUACUGGCGCUGAGACGCGAAAGCGUGGGGAGCGAACAGG